AAACCAAUUCGCAGACCCUAAAACGCGUUUUUUUCAAAAAAUUUCUUUUAAUAUACAUUAAAUACCUCAAAGCGCACCGUAUAGGCGGGUGAGAGUAGGACCUUAAAAAUUUCCAUACAAAUGUGGAAAUGUACAUAUUGUAUGUGUUUCUUAUUAUAUGGUAUCGCUAUGUCUUUGUCCACAUAGGUGUCGUCGUAAACUAUUUCUCUAGUCACCAGGGAGAGAUUGUAACUACAUUCCCCAGCCUAGUGCCUUUAGAGAGUGGUAAUGCAUUUGCAUUUCUGAAGGUGUAAGAAAAACAGAAGCGUCUUUGCUGAGCUGAAUAGGGACGCACCGUCUAUAGUUUUUAUAAAACGCGUAUGCCACUCUGUGCAGUUGGCAGUAAAUCAAGCUUGUAAUGAGUUUCUUCCGGACGGAUUGGAGUUCCUAAUUUAUAAGACCUAUAAUUGGUUCUGUAAGAGUGCAAUUCGACAAUCUGAGUACAAGACUGUUUACCAAUCGAUAAACAAUGAAAAGAGUGUGUGUCUAUUGAAUUAGCUGUUUCACGAAUAUUGGAACAAUGGCAGAAGUUUUUUAACUUCUUCUUGCCGCAAAAAAAUAAAAAUGUCAUAAGGCCAAAUUACUGCAUUCCAUGUUUGACGACAAUGUAAACUACAUAAAUUUAGUUUUCCUAAAACCAAUCCUAAUGGAAAUGCAAAAAGUCAACAAGUGCUUUCAAAGCAAUAACACUGACGCGACGCGCUUGCUAAAAGAUCUUGUUCUGUCCAUUAAUUCGGUAAAGAAGCACAUUAUUCCACCAGAUUGUAAUAUGGACUUAAUAAAAGAUGAUAAUUUUGUGGAAUAUGUUGUCAAAGAUUUAUAUCAAGGAUAUACAUUUGAAAAGCAAAUUAAAAUGCUUUAAUGGAUAAUGAUUCGGAGAAAUCUUUUCGAGAGUGCUGCACUAAUUUUAUAGUUGAACCUGUAAAGCAACUAAAGCUGAGGAUACCUGACAACCUCCAGAUUCUGCAACCAAUUGAUAUAUUUACCGUUCAGAAUAUUUUAUGUUCAAAAAAAUUCAACAUUGUUCCCAUUUUGGAAAAGUUUUCUGUUGAAGAUAUCGACCGAAUACAGCGGAAGUAAAACUUUUUAAGGACUCUGGGGGUAACGAACGACCGAGAUGUUGUCCUUGCCAUGGUCCAACGCUGAUGUAGAACGUGCGUUUAGCCAAGUAAACAUUGUAAAAUCAAAACUGAGAAAUAGAAUGGACGUUACCACUCCUAACUUAAUAUUGUGCAUAAGAUAUGGUGUUCCUUAACGGUUGCAGUCUUCAAUAACCUCUCAUCAUUAGGCGCAUAAUGCCAUCUCUAUUCUUUGUAACAAAAAACCUAUAUACAUAUAUAUAUACCUUUUUUCGUUUCUGGCAACGCUGCUACGACGGCGUUUAUUUGUGAAAUUCAUAUCAGUAUCAAAUAGGCUUCGCAACUGGCAAGAAUAAAAUUACAUACAGUCCACACA